rnacentral:lncRNA from 1 species
AUCUGCACAGCAGGGGUGUGGUGGGGGUGGGGGAGUUGGGUGGGGGGAUACAUGAAGGGACAGUGACUUGUCGUAGGAUUCAAGUUCAGCUUUGAGUUUCCUCUGUACAGUCUUUUCUUUUAGAUCCAUUUGCUUGUUUUUUCCAGGUUAAGAGUUUUUUGUUUUUGUUUUAACUCAACCUGUUUCCUUUUGAACUUAAAAAUACCCACUCUAGACUUGCAUUUAUUGAGUUUUUGAAUGUCUUAUCUCUCUGGCUCCCAAGCUUUGCCUACUUUGACCAGUUCUUCUCACUGCUUCCAGGGCUAAAUGUGACAGUUUUACACCAGCAUUGGUGGUUUCUCCUUCAGUGGGGAUCUUUGAAAUGUCCCCAUAUAGAGGGAGUUUGUGAAGGUCUGUACGUUAGAUGAGAACAUAAGGUUUUAAGUGGUUGGAGAGUUAAAAAGUUACUUUUAGAAUGAGGGAAACUCAGUCAAAGACUAACGUGAAUGUGAUAGGGAUUCUUUUAUUAAAAGAACUGAAGAUGGUUAUUCGUGACAGGAGAAGACACGCUUAUCUUUAUCUUUUAGUUAAUAUAAAAAAGCUGCCCACUGAGAGGGCAUGUUAGUUGAUAAAAUGCCACUCCAUUGUCCUUCAUGUCAUGUGUCUUGAUUUUAAUGACUUUCUUUUCUCUGUCUCUCUUUUUUUCUUUUUGCUUUUUAUGGAUGUUCCCAGGCUAGGGGUUGAAUGGGAGCGGCAGCUGCCGGCCUAUGUCACAGCCACAGCAACACCAGAUCAGAGCCGAGCCGUGUCUGCAACCUACACCAUAGCUUAAGACAAUGCCAGAUACUUAACCUACUAAGCAGGGCCAGGGGUUGAACCUGCAACCUCAUGGAUACUAAUCAGAUUUGUUUCCACUGAGCCACAACAGGAACUCCCUAUUUUAAUGACUUUCAAAAAGCUUGUUUAGAAAGAUGUUCAAACAGUGCUUUGAAGGUUGAAACUGGAUUGAAGAGUUUCUUAAAUAGGAAAAUCCUGAAAUAGUUCCUUUUACGUUACCCUAUUAAAAAUUAUGGGCUGUGCUUUCAGCCAGUCACCCUUCACUUUCACAUAAAGAACUUCUGAAGUUGAUUUCUCUUUAUUGUGAGAGGAUAUUGUGUUCUGUUCUAUUUAUUCACCUUCAUAGUAAUCACAUAGGCCUUCUAAAAUAAUUGUCAUACAUGGCUUUCAAAGUAACCAAAAAUAGAUUUUAUUAAACUUCACAAAACAUAUAAGGUAGUUUCCUAUGCUAUUUAACCAUUUUGUAGUGUGGUAAAGUGGAACGAGGCAGAUUAUGAUUUUGGUUGAGUUUCGCCAUUGACUCCCAGUAAAAAUCAAGGUAGAAAAAGAUAUUAUUGCUUCUCUCCUAACAGUUUCAGCUUGAUGCCCAUCCUAGAGCACGUUAUUCGUGUUCCCUUUAGGCAUAUAAGUUGGACUAAUUAUAUUCACCCUUGAUCCAUAUUCCAUUCAUCUCUAUGUAAAGUGCCUACGUGGUACCAGACACACCAGCAGGCACAUAGGAGGUGCUAGUUUUAUUUCUCUUUCUUUCAUUUUCGGGAGCUCUACAUUCCCAAAGGCUCUGAAGAAGGUACCCACCUUAACCUCCUCAAUGCCCUGAACAGUCAAGUCCAACAUGGGUCCAGAUUAAGUAACCUGUAACCCUGGGAAAAUCUCAGCUUUAUCCCUUAUCUGGGACAUAAAGAUUUUGUAGUCUGCUCCAGGGUGUACUUUUGCCCAGACUGUGUAUCUGAGAGGUUGCCAGUGUACAUGAGGAUAUUUUUCAGUUUUUUAGUAUGUUAAUGACCAUGGAAUGUUAUUGUGUAGACCAACCUGAAAAUACUAUUUAAAGAAGAAGCAAAGCCCACAAACAAUGAGCUCUCAAGUAGUCUCUAUCUCAGUCUCUCUUUCAAUCUCUUUCUUCACCCCCCUGCCCCCUCAGUAUUUUGGCCAUUCAUAAGUCACAUUAACAUGGAGAGAAAAAUUCCCCCCAGUUUAUCCUGAACCAUAACUUUUAAUCAUAUACCAGUAAAUUCUUAUUUCUUUAGGACUACAUUUUGAACUAUUUUUCUAUUUUGGAGUUGGAAGUUUCAUGCUUUAAAUAGUGUAGUUAAUUUAACAGUAGAGAAUCAGAACAAAUUAAAUCUCCAAGUCUGAAAAUUCCUGAAAGGUUUAAAAUAUACUUUAGAAACAGAUUUUACAAAAGAAGCCGAGUAUGUUUUAAAUUUUGAUAAAUACACAUUGCCAGUGUUUAUCACUAAAAGUUCAAGCUUAUAUUUGUUAGCUCAAACACAAAUACACACAACUUAAAUUCAAAUGCAGUUUCUUGCAUGAUAAAAGUCUUUUGACUGACUCAGGGGCAACAAACAUGGUUUGGGAAAGAGGAAAAAUCCAGAGUUGGGAAAAGACGGGGGAAUAAUUUCCAUUGUCCACUAGAUGUCAGUACUGAACUGGCAAAACAUCUGUUCUGCUGUCGUCUUAGACAACAUGCUAUUAAUUUAUAAUAAAAGGUAUCUGACAGCUUUAUUCUGAUGAAUUAUGGGAAUCCAAAGCAUAAUUCCCAGCCUUUGGUUUAUAAAUUGUCAUUGAUUUUAAUGUUCUUUGUAAAGUUGUGGCAUGCAACAAAUUUUCCUGCCAAGAUCUGUUAAAUAAAUAGUCAUCCUUUGCUCUGAGUAGUACAUUGAACUUGUUAGACUGAUGAGCAGAACCAAUUGAUGGUUAUCCAUAAACCAUUUAUGAUAGAAUGCACAGCAUCCAUUCAAACAAUUAUUGAAUGCAUUCAUUAUAUAUUUUUAAAGCAUCUCAAGUGAACCAGAAGGAAUAUUGCAGGUAAUAGACAGUAGCAAUGCCACACAGUUCUUUAUGAGAUACUUUCUGAGUGACAGCUGACUAGAAUUGUUGUAGGAUUUGCUGAGGGCUCAUCAAACCUCGCUGGAAUUAUUUGGUUUCCUCUAUUGUGCAUUUUGGCAUCCCAAAAGUAUAUUGCCUGCCUUUUCUAAAGAAAGAUGGUUAUUGUAAAGACGGAAUCUUUUGUUCAUGUAAAGAUCGCUUACAAACUGGCACCAGAACAAAAGAAAGCUUAUGCCUGAGAUAUAAUUUCAGUGCCUUUGGAGACGUAGUUUAUGUAGAGGAGACCUUGAAAUUUGGAGGUCUGUGAUGACCAUUAAGUACGUAACCACUUUUAAGCAGAGGUUCUAUCUCCUAGGAAAAUUCUCCACCGGCCUUAGGCUGUUGCAUUUGAUUUCACUCUCUGAAAACACUUAACAUCCUUGGCGGUUUUCAGAAGGACCAUCAUUUGCUUUUGUUCUUUGUCUGAAAUUGUCCUGUCUGUUCUGUUGCUAUGUCAGGGAACACCUCUCCUCCCCAGAAGUGGCUGUCUUUCAGAGAUGUAGCCUCAAGUCUGUUGUUUGUACAAUGUUUUAAGACUUCUUUGGGAUCAAAGAAAAGUGACCUAGGCAUGUAAAAUUCUGUUAAUGGCACUAUUUGUGAGAGUACAGCGGCAAACUACCUUUAGGCACUGUUAAGUAGUGAAACAGUACAUUAAAGACUGAAGAACUGACUGGAAUGUUCUAUCCUUGAUUUCUUUUCCUUAAAUCUAUCGCCCUCAGUGUUGUGAUAUGACAGUAGCUGGAAACGUUCCCCUGGUUUCUCUUUGAAACAGAGAAAUCCGCGGGCUGAGGACGUGGGAUUUGUCUGAAUUUCUCCAAAAAUUUGAAAGAUAGUUCUCGUUUAAUGCCUUUUUUUUUUUUCAGAUUUAAAAAUAAAAGAUUUUUUUAAAGAAAAAACAUUAGGAAGACUGAGAGCUUGAUACACAUAUGGCUGCCUUUUACAAGUCAUUAUGAUCUGUCACACAAAUACUGUAUUUACUGACAUUCAAAGUGUGGACUCUAAUCUCUACACCCAUUUAUUUUUUUUAAUAGUUGCCUUUCAUUGCAAGCCUCCAUCCAACAAAUCACAUUAGAAAACAUGCAACCCGAGUCCACAGGUUCAAUUAUUAACGUUGUUACUCUUUCAAAAGUGCAAAGACAGUGGAGUUCAGAGUAGAAGCCUUUAAGCCUAAAUUGAGUUAAAUGAAAAUUGAGUUGGGUGGAAAGUUAGUGAGAGGAGUCAUUUUAAGCCCUAAUACAGUUUUUCUGUGUAAGGGAUGAAUGAGGGCUGUGUACUGCAGAGUAUUUUUCCAAAGCUAUUUUCAUACUGGUUCCUUUACCUAACUCUCCAACUAUUGCCAUUGCUCGUAUUUAUCAACUGUGAGAACGCUUCUUCCAUUGCCUUCAUUAGCUGUGAAAUGUGGGAGCAUUUCAAACAGACAGUAUCACUCUAGGCAGUGACCACAGUGUUUCAAAAUUUACAUUCUUUGUCCAACAUUGUGACCACCUGUGACCAAUCAGUUUGAUGUAUAGACUCAGCCGCUUUUCCUCUGCCUACAGUCACUCAAAAAGACCCUGUUUCUCAGGCUAACAGUCUUGGGAACCAUGGGCCUGCGGGAAAAUGGGUGUGGCGGAAAGGAGGUGGAGUAGCCCGAGGGUUCUGCAGAAUUUUAUUGGGAGUCUGAAACGAAGAAGUGCAGACUCUUUGGGUAAUUUAUCCUGAAAUGAAGAUGCGCAGACAUCUUUGGCUAAUUUUUUCCUAAAAUAAAUCAUCUAUAUAAUUUCAAUAUUGCAGAAAUGUUGUAUCAAAGUGAUUAAGGCUGAAAAGGAUAAUUGGUCAAUUCUAGGGAAGAAAAAAAAAAUCAGUCAAAUUUCUUUUAACAUAUUGAAAUGUUCACUCUGCAAUCAGUUUAGUCACCACUACUGACUAGAAGACCAGGUACUAUUUCUGGUACUGGGAAUGUAAUAGUGGAUAGAAAAAUCAGUUCUUCCCUCUGGAGCUUGCAUGCUGGUGGAGGGAGGCAAGCCAUGAACAAAUACAUAAAAAAGAAGUCACCGGAGUUCCCGUCGUGGCGCAGUGGUUCACGAAUCCAACUAGGAACCACGAGGUUGCGGGUUGGAUCCCCGGUCUCACUCAGUGGGUUAAGGAUCUGGCGUUGCCGUGAGCUGUGGUGUAGGUCGCAGACGCGGCUCGGAUCCCACGUGGCUGUGGCUCUGGCACAGGCCCGUGGCUAUAGCUCCGAUUAGACC